GGCCGUAGUAUCUUUCUUGUAUGAUUGCCAUUUCAAAAAACAAGAAUAUGCCUAAGGAUUUGUUAGUUUUUGUUCACCUUACCAUUUCAUUGUCAUUAUACAAAACCUUUACUAUUUUUUGUGACAUGAAAAAGGCCAUUCAUAAUAAAGUGUAGAAAUGGGAAACUAGCAGAUAAAGAGGCAUUCAGACCCCAAGAGUUUUGGUGCUUGAAGUGGGUAAUCCAUAGGUAGACACUGGAUCAAACAAGAAGCACUUUAUGUUCUUAGGCAAUCACUCCAUGGCAUAUGCUACAUGAUUCCAAAGGGAUUGAGUCUUGCAUUGUACAGAAGGGAAGCAACAUGGCGUCAAUAAUGAUCAUGUGCAUCAGGAAACUAUGAGAGACACAUAAUUUAUUUUUUUAGUGUCUGGCUGAUACUUAUAUGUCAUGUAUAUAGUGGUUAGAUACUGCAUUAUAAUUUGUGGAUAUUGUUCACUCCUAGUUGUGACUUUGAUGACAGGUUCAUUGUCGAGCUGUAGUGCUGAAGCUGUAAAAUGAACCUGAUGGGAAGGUUUCACAACUUGAGCAUGUCUUUAUUUGAGGCAGCAAAGUCAGGUUUAUGGUGAUUCCCGACAUGCUUAAGAAUGCUCCAAUGUUUAAGCGUUUGGAGUCUAGAAUCAAGGGUAAGGGCUCAGCAAUUGGAGUUGGCCGGGGUCGUGCUGUUGCAAUGCGGGCUAGAGCUCAGGCUGCUGGUCGUGGAGCUCCACCUGGUAGGGGUGCUGUACCCUCUA